UGUUGUAAAUUAUAUUUAGAUCAGUUGCAAAUGUCUGAGGACUAGUUGCAGAGGUCUGAGGACUAGUUGGAGAGGUCUGGGGUCUAGUUGCAGAGGUCUGGGGUCUAGUUGCAGAGGUCUGAGGACUAGUUGGAGAGGUCUGGGUACUAGUUGUAGAGGUCUGGGGACUAGUUGGAGAGGUCUGGGGACUAGUUGGAGAGGUCUGGGGUCUAGUUGCAGAGGUCUAGGGUCUAGUUGCAAAUGUCUGGGGACUAGUUGCAGAGGUCUGGGGAGUAGUUGUAGAGGUCUGGGGACUAGUUGCAGAGGUCUGUGGACUAGUUGCAGAGGUCUGGGACUAGUUGCAGAGGUCUGGGGACUAGUUGCAGAGGUCUGAGGACUAGUUGUAGAGGUCUGGGGACUAGUUGCAGAGGUCUGGGGACUAGUUGCAGAGGUCUGGGGACUAAUUGCAGAGGUCUGAGGACUAGUUGCAGAGGUCUGAGGACUAGUUGUGGAGGUCUGUGGACUAGUUGUGGAGGUCUGGGGACUAAUUGCAGAGGUCUGAGGACUAGUUGUGGAGGUCUGAGGACUAGUUGUGGAGGUCUGGUGACUAGUUGCAGAGGUCUGUGGACUAGUUGUGGAGGUCUGGGGACUAAUUGCAGAGGUCUGGUGACUAGUUGCAGAGGUCUGGUGACUAGUUGCAGAGGUCUGUGGACUAGUUGCAGAGGUCUGGGGACUAGUUGCAGAGGUCUGAGGACUAGUUGCAGAGGUCUGAGGACUAGUUGUGGAGGUCUGGGGACUAAUUGCAGAGGUCUGGUGACUAGUUGUGGAGGUCUGGUGACUAGUUGCAGAGGUCUGGGGACUAGUUGCAGAGGUCUGAGGACUAGUUGCAGAGGUCUGAGGACUAGUUGUGGAGGUCUGGGGACUAAUUGCAGAGGUCUGGUGACUAGUUGCAGAGGUCUGAGGACUAGUUGUGGAGGUCUGUGGACUAGUUGUGGAGGUCUGGGGACUAAUUGCAGAGGUCUGAGGACUAGUUGUGGAGGUCUGGUGACUAGUUGCAGAGGUCUGUGGACUAGUUGUGGAGGUCUGGGGACUAAUUGCAGAGGUCUGGUGACUAGUUGCAGAGGUCUGAGGACUAGUUGUGGAGGUCUGGUGACUAGUUGCAGAGGUCUGGUGACUAGUUGCAGAGGUCUGUGGACUAGUUGUGGAGGUCUGGGGACUAAUUGCAGAGGUCUGGUGACUAGUUGCAGAGGUCUGUGGACUAGUUGCAAAUGUCUUGGGACUAGUUGCAAAUGUUUUGGGACUAGUUUCAGAGUUCUGCGGACUAGUUGUAGAGGCCUGGGAACUAGUUGCAAAGGUCCGGGGAGUAGUUUCAGUGGUCUGGGGACUAGUUGUAGAAUUUUGUUGACUAGUUGCAGAAGUCUGGGGACCAGUUGUAGAGGUCUGGGGACGAGUUGCAGAAUUCUGUUGACUAGCUACAGAGAUCUAGGGAUCAGUUACAGAGGUCUGAAUUCUGAAACAGACGACCCUGACAAUGAUUUUAUGAAAUAUUAUAAAUGAUAUA